UGGAUGAAAUAUGAAGUUUUAUUAAAAGAAAAGGGGUGAAAAGAACAAAGUUUUGUCCAUCUUUGCUCAUCAUAGCUGAAAGUUAGAGAAGAGAAAGGAGAGGAGAAAGCUCUUGAGUAUUCGGUCAUUAGGAGGAGGAAAAUUGAAGGUGUGGUUGGCCGAAUAUUGUAAGGGGUUUGUAACACCCCAAACCCGAGACCAUCGCCGGUGUCGGACACGAGGGGUUAACGAGACAAAUCCUCUUAAAGUACCGACCAAUUUGGCAUUUCUGGACAGGCUGGAAAACUGCAUCACCGUCGUCUUAAAAAUCAUAUCUCGAGUUUCAAAACUCAGAAACUGGUUUCGUAAAUUUUUCCUGAAUUUAGACUCAUAUACCCAUCCAUGGAUUUAUUUUUAGAAUUUUUGGUUGGGCCAAUUCGUACAGUUUAUUAGUUAAAGUCACCCAUGUUACAGGGAUCGACUGCUCUGACCUUCGCGCGUUACAACUUGAAUAUCUCUCUGUACAGGGCUUUAAUACUGGUUCCGUUUGUUUCUAAUGAAACUAGACUCAAAAUGGAAUCUGUACAUAUAAGGCAUGACUCCUAAUUCUUUCUGGAUAAUUUAUGGUAAAUUUUCAAAGUCGCGACAGGGGACCCAGAAACCGUUCUGGUCCUGUCUCACAAGAA